GAUGAACGCUGGCGGCGUGCCUAAUACAUGCAAGUAGAACGCUGAAGCUUGGUGCUUGCACCGAGCGGAUGAGUUGCGAACGGGUGAGUAACGCGUAGGUAACCUGCCUCUUAGCGGGGGAUAACUAUUGGAAACGAUAGCUAAUACCGCAUAAAAGUCGACAUUGCAUGAUGUUGACUUGAAAGGUGCAAUUGCAUCACUAAGAGAUGGACCUGCGUUGUAUUAGCUAGUUGGUGAGGUAACGGCUCACCAAGGCGACGAUACAUAGCCGACCUGAGAGGGUGAUCGGCCACACUGGGACUGAGACACGGCCCAGACUCCUACGGGAGGCAGCAGUAGGGAAUCUUCGGCAAUGGGGGCAACCCUGACCGAGCAACGCCGCGUGAGUGAAGAAGGUUUUCGGAUCGUAAAGCUCUGUUGUAAGAGAAGAACGAGUGUGAGAGUGGAAAGUUCACACUGUGACGGUAACUUACCAGAAAGGGACGGCUAACUACGUGCCAGCAGCCGCGGUAAUACGUAGGUCCCGAGCGUUAUCCGGAUUUAUUGGGCGUAAAGCGAGCGCAGGCGGUUAGAUAAGUCUGAAGUUAAAGGCUGUGGCUUAACCAUAGUACGCUUUGGAAACUGUUUAACUUGAGUGCAGAAGGGGAGAGUGGAAUUCCAUGUGUAGCGGUGAAAUGCGUAGAUAUAUGGAGGAACACCGGUGGCGAAAGCGGCUCUCUGGUCUGUAACUGACGCUGAGGCUCGAAAGCGUGGGGAGCAAACAGG
rnacentral:rRNA from 1 species